rnacentral:tRNA from 2 species
AGGGGUGUAGCGCAGUCCGGUUAGCGCACCUGGUUUGGGACCAGGGGGUCGAAGGUUCGAAUCCUUUCACCCCUA